rnacentral:rRNA from 1 species
UACGUAGGUGGCAAGCGUUGUCCGGAUUUACUGGGCGUACAGGGAGCGUAGGCGGUUGGAUAAGCCCUCCGUGAAAUCUCCAGGCUUAACCUGGAAAGUGCAGAGGGGACUGUUCAGCUAGAGGAUGGGAGAGGAGCGCGGAAUUCCCGGUGUAGCGGUGAAAUGCGUAGAGAUCGGGAGGAAGGCCGGUGGCGAAGGCGGCGCUCUGGAACAUUUCUGACGCUGAGGCUCGAAAGCGUGGGGAGCAAACAGGG